ACAUACAGAGCUGGAAUGUGUGUGUGUGUGUGUGUGUGUGUGUGUGUGUGUGUGUCUGUGGGGGAUGGGCAGCAGAAGACGUAAAAGGAGGAUCACACGCGGUAAAGACAACCGAAAU